GAUUGGGUGACUGAAUUUCCAUGCAACUUCGUUUCCUUCCCCUACGUCGUUGUCUCCAUCACUCUCCCCCGAUUCGGCCGCCGACCUCGCCGCUCCUCUAUCCCGCCGCCGCCCGCCGCCAUCUCCUCCCUCCCAUCACCUUCUCUACGCCGGCAGGGCUUCCACCUGUGGAUUGGCGAUCUGCACCAGCGAUGGGCUCCUCCUUCGCCCAGGGCAGCAGGUCCGCCUUGUAGGGCCGGGGCGGGAGCAGGAGCGGGCCGUGCUUUGACCCGGCUCGUCAGCUCUGGCAUGGAGGAGGACCUCUUGUGCGCGGUGGCGGCUGGAGGAGGAGUUGGAUUCGCCAGCAACCGCGACAGAAUUAUCUCAGUAGUCCUUGAUUUUUCUCUACACAAUUGAAUUUCAGUUGCCUGGUGGUCACUGUGUGCGCAAUUCUCUUAAAUAUUUUGUAUCACUUAUACGUCUAUACUUCAAGAUAGGUAUGGACAUUGAGUAAUUUCAGCCAACUUGCCAUAUGGUAAUUGCAGGUUGAUUCCUCUUCAGAUUUUGCUUUAGUAUGUUUUUUUACCGAUUUCUCGAUGAUCCCCAGAAUCACAAAAUCUGGUCAUUUCCAGGUUUAGCAUAAUAGAUUCCUCGAUCUAGCACUUCUUUUGAUAUAGGAGGUUAUUUUUUUACUAAUUGGAGGUUUCAGGCCUCCAUGUUAAUUCUAAGAGGGCAAAGUCUGUUGCAAUAUUUGAUCUUCAGUCUAACCAUGAUGAAUUUUCAGCCAGGCCCCACUUUCGGUUGAUUAUGGUGGUGGAAUGUUGACAAGCUGUGUCUGUCUACCUAUCAUUCUCUCAAUUGUUCAGUUUAAGAACUUUUGGCAGAAGGCUGGACUUUGGGCAUCGGCCAAAUCAUCCUGAGUACUUCUUGAGUUUUUUCUCUCAGCUGUGGAUUAUAAUUUAUUUGCUCGAAUGCUUGCUGAGUUGGCCGAACUCAUCACACUCUGGAGCUUGCGUGCUGUCAGAGAGGAAGACACACAUACUAUGUUGUCUUGGGCAAAUUCACUGAGAUAGUUGUUGAUCACCGAACCUUAUUUCUUUCUCUCUUUCUUUUGCCUUUCGCCUUUGUAAAGCAUCCUGUUCAGCGGUCUGGUGAUAACAGGUCACACUGUUUUAUGUGGCACUAAUAUCACCUUCAUGUAAUUGACUCCGGUCACCCAGGCUCACGCCUGGUAGAAAGUGAUAAUACCUUUUUAUUCAAAAAAGAAGAGUUUGGAUGUGGAGAGCCCGCGGAUUUAGAAAAUUGGAAGGUCGUUAUGGCCUCAAGGAGGCAUACUAUGGAUGUGCUGUAGAAGACGCAUGCGAAGAUGUCGAGCAUGUGGCUCUGCGCACAAGAGAAUGCAGUGAGUCCAUAUAAUCCAAUUUCCUUACUCUGUAGACUCCAGGUGCCUCUUGAUUCACCUUUUUUACAUCCCAUAGAAGAUAAGGAAAGACAUGUUUUUCAGUUUUGAUGUGCCAUGAACUUAGAUUUUUUUACUGGAACUAUAUAAGGCUUCAAAAUUCAGUUAUCAGAACACGAAUUAAUCCUAGAUAACAUAUGUUGUUGGUCUGGCAGCUUACUGCCAGAAAAGUUGUGCUCUCAAGGGGUGCGAGGACUGCUAGGGAUGUACAGAAUUCACGAAUAAGUAAAACCUAUAUGGCGGAUCGGACAUUCUGUUUCCACUUCUCUACAUCAUGCUGCCCACCGGGCAUGGAUAUUCACCUCCACCAAUUUGAUUGAUCCUAUGUUCUACUUCAGUUUAUCAGCUAAGUUUAUACACUGUCCCGAAAGGCCUAAGCCCAAAUCGCAUGUUAAUUCCCUGGACAAUUUUUUCUUCCAAAAUAUGUCCUAUUGUAUUUAAAUGAACAGAUCCUUCUAAUACAGCACUAUACAUUGGCAAAGAGAUAAUAUAUACUGGUCUCAGUCAGAUUUUGUUCUUCAUGUUCAUAUAUAAGUUCUCUUAUUAUCUCUUUGUGUACAUCUUCAAAUAGCAACUUAGUUGGUGGAAUUUAUGUUCCUGCUUUAUGUAGCUAAAUACAAAUCAGGAACUAUGUUGCAGUGUUUAUUCCUUAGCACUUUUGAUUUACAAAUAAGUCUACUGUUGUACAAUCCUUAUAAUUGAAGUUGGUUGUUCAAGCAGACACAAUGUGCACUGACAGAAGAUGGCAGGAACAAUGGUCCAAAUUCAACUAUGUAUUUGCCAAAGUUGAUUAUGCUUAACUCUAGGCAUUGCAUUACUAUAUCAUGGUGUACUAUUCUUUGAAGAAUUUGUAGGAGGUACUAGAAAAGCAUGACUUGAUGAGCGAUGCCUUGAUUUUAAAAAACAGCCGGAAAUAAUUUAGUUUAGUAAAAUAUUGUAUAGCCUUCUCGUAGAAGUUUGAUACACUUUUUCAAGAAAACGAACUUUGGUUAAUCAUUAAGCUAUAACUUUUCUCAUAUUUGAACAACAAGGUUAUUUGAGUUCUGCUAAAAAAAGUGGCAAUGUUAAAAAAAGAGGCUAUUUUGUGUAACUUUUGCAAACUUUGUGGAAAGAAGCUACAAAUAACUGAUUUCGUUGUCUAGUCCAUAGUCCAAUGUUAAUCUAGAGGGUGGAAUCUUUAAACUUCGUUAAUGCUUUCUUGUCCGUUUUGAUCAAAUAUAUGCCUGAUGUGGUUUGUAUAAACUUAUGGUGGUAUAGUUAGUUUUGCUUUUUUUUGGGUAGGAUAUAAUAACAUUGUAGGUAGACGGAGACUGAAUCAUUUCACACUACUUUGAUGUCUAUCGAGCCAAUGGGACAACAAAGGUAGUUCCUUUGCACAAUUUGAAGAAUGUUAUUUCAUAUUGCAUGAUAUGUCUGACUCCUUUCAGUGGGCCUUCAAUUAAUUUGAGGCAUCCUUUCCUAGGAUCUUACCUUGAUAUUCCUCUAUUUUCUCCUAUUCGUCCCAUGCUUUUUUAAGAACUGAAAUAAAUAUAACGAGUGUUACAAAUGUUUGCUGAGGAAAAGCCCUUGCAGAAAAGAAGAACCGGAAGCAGGUUUUCUAUCUUCACGAGCAAGUCGGCGUCUGUAAAGCUUUGCUGGAGCCAUUCCAGCUCUUUCAGAGCCACAAGGCAAGGAAGCCGAGGAACCAGGACGCCAACGGUGCGGAGCAGUUUGCCAUCGAGAGGACUAGGCCAAGAUCAACAUCUCCCUCGUGCCUCCAUCAACACCGUGUCCUGGAGGGUCGUCGCCGUCGCGCCGUCCGCGACGAUGAGCAACUGUCGUAGCUUUGUAAGCCGCACGGUUAGAGGGAGGCAUCAAGGGCCGACCACCGCUGCGGGGGCCGACGUGCGUGCAAUUUCUAUUAAUGUAUCUUAUGUUGCCAAACAACAACAUGCUCUUGUCGAUGCUAUAUCGUUGUGGGCGUGGCAUUUCAGUUUCUUCCUCAGGUGAUGUUCCAAUAUAAUAAGUUCCAUCAAGAAUUGCAUGUAUAUCUACCUGGCACCGCCCAGAU